AGAGAAACGAGAUUCAAGUCGUGAUCGAGGGAAAAUAAAGUUUACGAGGAAUAAGCUCGAUUGCUAAUAUUUUAUAUCGAGUUUUGAUAAGCCAGCUCGGAAAUCGGGAACGGUCGGAGGCCCACUCACACUAUCCGUAUACCAUCAUGGCGUAAUGGCUUGUAUAUUUUGAGUAUGGCAUGUAUAGCAUUAUAAUCAUUUUGUAUAUAUGGUCUUAUGAUAUGGAUAUUGAGUGGUAUGGAAAUGUUUGGUAAUGAUUAGCCAUUGGAAUGGCUAAUCAUGAUCAUAUUUGGUGUUAUAUAUGCUAAAUUGCUAGCU